GAGGGUAUAGCUCAGUGGUAGAGUGCCUGCCUAGCAUGCAUGAGGUCCUGGCUUUAAUCCCCAGUACCUCCA
rnacentral:tRNA from 1 species